GAUUAGCAUUAGGUUUACACACCCACGAUUAGCAUUAGGUUUACACACCCACGAUUAGCAUUAGGUUUACACACCCACGAUUAGCAUUAGGUUUACACUCCCACGAUUAGCAUUAGGUUUACACUCCCACGAUUAGCAUUAGGUUUACACACCCACGAUUAGCAUUAGGUUUACACACCCACGAUUAGCAUUAAGUUUACACUCCCACGAUUACCAUUAGGUUUACACUCCCACGAUUAGCAUUAGGUUUACACUCCCACGAUUAGCAUUAGGUUUACACUCCCACGAUUAGCAUUAGGUUUACACACGAUUUAGUAAUGAUAGAAAGCAUGUUUCCCAAUUUAGAUUUCUUGUAGUUUACACACAAAAAAACAUGUGUACUGUAAAGUAUAUUAGUUUAGUAUUUGCAAAACAAUUUUACCAGCGCAACUCCCUUUCAGGAAUUCUAAUAAAACAAUUGAUGCAGUACUGAAAAUACUGCUAUGCUUGUACUUGGAACUAACACUUUUUGGUCUAAAAGGGUGUACUUAGAAAUAUAUAUAUAUGUUUGGAUGGAGCAAAAAAAAACAUAACAAAAUAUAGGCGUUCCCAGGUCAUCCUCUUAGACAUAUCAGCAUUCCCAGGUCAUCCUCUUAGACAUAUCAGCAUUCCCAGGUCAUCCUCUUAGACAUAUCAGCAUUCCCAGGCCAUCCUCUUAGACAUAUCAGCAUUCCUAGUUCAUCCUCUUAGACAUAUCAGCAUUCCCAGAUCAUCCUCUUAGACAUAUCAGCAUUCCCAGGUCAUCCUCUUAGACAUAUCAGCAUUCCCAGGUCAUCCUCUUAGACACAUCAGCAUUCCCAGGUCAUCCUCUUAGACACAUCAGCAUUCCCAGGCCAUCCUCUUAGACACAUCAGCAUUCCCAGGUCAUCCUCUUAGACACAUCAGCAUUCCCAGGUCAUCCUCUUAGACACAUCAGCAUUCCCAGGUCAUCCUCUUAGACACAUCAGCAUUCCCAGGUCAUCCUCUUAGACACAUCAGCAUUCCCAGGUCAUCCUCUUAGACACAUCAGCAUUCCCAGGUCAUCCUCUUAGACACAUCAGCAUUCCCAGGUCAUCCUCUUAGACACAUCAGCAUUCCCAGGUCAUCCUCUUAGACACAUCAGCAUUCCCAGGUCAUCCUCUUAGACACAUCAGCAUUCCCAGGUCAUCAUCUUAGACACAUCAGCAUUCCCAGGUCAUCCUCUUAGACACAUCAGCAUUCCCAGGUCAUCCUCUUAGACACAUCAGCAUUCCCAGGUCAUCCUCUUAGACACAUCAGCAUUCCCAGGUCAUCCUCUUAGACACAUCAGCAUUCCCAGGUCAUCCUCGUAGACACAUCAGCAUUCCCAGGUCAUCCUCUUAGACACAUCAGCAUUCCCAGGUCAUCCUCUUAGACAUUGAUGGUACUUGAGAGGAAUGAAUUUACAUGGUUGAGGACAGAAUUGUUGGGAUUAAACUACAAGGACAAUGAAGAUUCCUACUGAUGCUACUUUUGCUAUUGUUGGUGUGGUGUAACAACUACUACUAUUACUGUUAAUUGUUUCGGGCUGUUUGUACUACCGUUUUGAAUCAAAUCAAAUGUAUUUACAAAGCCCUUCUUACAUCAGCUGAUGUCACAAAGUGCUGUACAGAAACCCAGCCUAAAACCCCAAACAGCACGCAAUGCAGGUGUAGAAGCACAGUGGCUAGGAAAAACUCCCUAGAAAGACCAGAACCUAGGAAGAAACCUAGAGAGGAACCAGGCUAUGAGGGGUGGCCAGUCCUCUUCUGGCUGUGCCGGGUGGAGAUUAGAAACCUAGAGAGGAACCAGGCUAUGUGGGGUGGCCAGUCCUCUUCUGGCUGUGCCGGGUGGAGAUUAGAAACCUAGAGA